UACGGAGGGUGCAAGCGUUAUCCGGAUUCACUGGGUUUAAAGGGUGCGUAGGUGGAGUGGUAAGUCAGUGGUGAAAUCUCCAAGCUUAACUUGGAAACUGCCGUUGAUACUAUCAUUCUUGAAUAUCGUGGAGGUAAGCGGAAUAUGUCAUGUAGCGGUGAAGUGCUUAGAUAUGACAUAGAACACCGAUUGCGAAGGCAGCUUGCUACACGAUCAUUGACACUGAGGCACGAAAGCGUGGGGAUCAAACAGG
rnacentral:rRNA from 1 species